rnacentral:rRNA from 1 species
GAUCGGCCACAUUGGGACUGAGACACGGCCCAAACUCCUACGGGAGGCUGCAGUAGGGAAUCUUCCACAAUGGGCGAAAGCCUGAUGGAGCAACGCCGCGUGUGUGAUGAAGGCUUUCGGGUCGUAAAGCACUGUUGUAUGGGAAGAAAAGUUAAGGUAGGGAAUGACCUUAGCCUGACGGUACCAUACCAGAAAGGGACGGCUAAAUACGUGCCAGCAGCCGCGGUAAUACGUAUGUCCCGAGCGUUAUCCGGAUUUAUUGGGCGUAAAGCGAGCGCAGACGGUUGGUUAAGUCUGAUGUGAAAGCCCGGAGCUCAACUCCGGAAAGGCAUUGGAAACUGGUUAACUUGAGUGCAGUAGAGGUAAGUGGAACUCCAUGUGUAGCGGUGGAAUGCGUAGAUAUAUGGAAGAACACCAGCGGCGAAGGCGGCUUACUGGACUGUAACUGACGUUGAGGCUCGAAAGUGUGGGUAGCAAACAGGAUUAGAUACCCUGGUAGUCCACACCGUAAACGAUGAACACUAGGUGUUAGGAGGUUUCCGCCUCUUAGUGCCGAAGCUAACGCAUUAAGUGUUCCGCCUGGGGAGUACGACCGCAAGGUUGAAACUCAAAGGAAUUGACGGGGACCCGCACAAGCGGUGGAGCAUGUGGUUUAAUUCGAAGCAACGCGAAGAACCUUACCAGGUCUUGACAUCCUUUGAAGCUUUUAGAAAUAGAAGUGUUCUCUUCGGAGACAAAGUGACAGGUGGUGCAUGGUCGUCGUCAGCUCGUGUCGUGAGAUGUUGGGUUAAGUCCCGCAACGAGCGCAACCCUUAUUGUUAGUUGCCAGCAUUCAGAUGGGCACUCUAGCGAGACUGCCGGUGACAAACCGGAGGAAGGCGGGGACGACGUCAGAUCAUCAUGCCCCUUAUGACCUGGGCUACACACGUGCUACAAUGGCGUAUACAACGAGUUGCCAACCUGCGAAGGUGAGCUAAUCUCUUAAAGUACGUCUCAGUUCGGACUGCAGUCUGCAACUCGACUGCACGAAGUCGGAAUCGCUAGUAAUCGCGGAUCAGCACGCCGCGGUGAAUACGUUCCCGGGUCUUGUACACACCGCCCGUCACACCAUGGAAGUUUGUAAUGCCCAAAGCCGGUGGCCUAACCGUAAGGAGGGAACC